GAGAGUGUGACCUAUCCAGAUGACUUUUCCUGUGCCUGUUGGACAUUUAUUUUCUGGUUUAGGAACCCAAUUUGAGGGAGACAUGAUUCUACCUGGAGUCUUACAGAAGGGGACACAUCCCUCAAGGAGCUCCAUGAGCUUGUCCUCCAUAUCCUUGGGAAGAAGGGCUGCUCCACACAGUUGCUGUGGCCAGGAAGUGACUGCCUGGGCAUGUGGCCAAAUUGCUGUCUCGGCCCUGUGACUGUGAGUCCUCGCGAGUUCCAGCGUUCAUCUUUUAAGAGAAAAAGAUUUUUUUUCCUAUUCUCAAAGAAAUACA